rnacentral:rRNA from 1 species
GUGGGGAAUAUUGGACAAUGGGGGGAACCCUGAUCCAGCCAUGCCGCGUGUGUGAAGAAGGCCUUUUGGUUGUAAAGCACUUUAAGCGAGGAGGAGGCUACCGAGAUUAAUACUCUUGGAUAGUGGACGUUACUCGCAGAAUAAGCACCGGCUAACUCUGUGCCAGCAGCCGCGGUAAUACAGAGGGUGCAAGCGUUAAUCGGAUUUACUGGGCGUAAAGCGGACGUAGGUGGCCAAUUAAGUCAAAUGUGAAAUCACCGAGCUUAACUUGGGAAUUGCAUUCGAUACUGGUUGGCUAGAGUAUGGGAGAGGAUGGUAGAAUUCCAGGUGUAGCGGUGAAAUGCGUAGAGAUCUGGAGGAAUACCGAUGGCGAAGGCAGCCAUCUGGCCUAAUACUGACACUGAGGUGCGAAAGCAUGGGGAGCAAACAGGAUUAGAUACCCUGGUAGUCC